AAAGUCGUAACAAGGUUUCCGUAGGUGAACCUGCGGAAGGAUCAUUAACAAAUCAGUGCGUAGGGUGCCGCGAGGCGCUCUACGAUAUCUACCCCGAGCUUGCUUGCGCAAGUGAGCAGCUCUGGUUGCAGUGCCUGUGGGUCUGUCUUGAUGGACCCGUAUGGGACUGUAGACUGAAUCGCCCUAACCGGUGUGCAGGUCACAUAGACGCUUGUAUGUUUGACAGUCUAGUUGCAUCUUAAAAAUGACAACUUUUAACAAUGGAUCUCUUGGCUCUU
rnacentral:misc_RNA from 1 species